CCCUUAGACGUUCUGGGCCGCACGCGCGCUACACUGACCAGUGCAACAAGCAUCCGUCCUUGGCCGACAGGCCCGGGCAAUCUUUGAACGCUGGUCGUGAUGGGGAUAGACUUUUGCAAUUUUUGGUCUUCAACGAGGAAUUCCUAGUAAACGCAAGUCAUCAACUUGCAUUGAUUACGUCCCUGCCCUUUGUACACACCGCCCGUCGCACCUACCGAUUGAAUGGUCCGGUGAAGCCUUCGGAUUGGCGCGCACCUCGGUGCCGCCGAGAAGUUGGCUAAACCUUACCAUUUAGAGGAAGGUGAAGUCGUAACA
rnacentral:rRNA from 1 species